rnacentral:rRNA from 1 species
UACAGGGGGUGCAAACGUUGCUCGGAAUCAUUGGGCGUAAAGCGCACGUAGGCGGUCUGUUAUGUCGGAUGUGAAGCCCUUGGCUCAACUGAGGAAGUGCAUCCGAAACUGGCAGGCUAGAGUACUAAAGAGGAUCGCGGAAUUCCCAGUGUAGAGGUGAAAUUCGUAGAUAUCGGGAGGAACACCGGUGGCGAAGGCGGCGAUCUGGGUAGAGUACUGACGCUGAGGUGCGAAAGCGUGGGGAGCAACAGG